GACGAACGCUGGCGGCGGGCUUAACACAUGCAAGUCGAACGGAAAGGCCCUGCUUUUGUGGGGUGCUCGAGUGGCGAAGGGGUGAGUAACACGUGAGUAACCUGCCCUUGACUUUGGGAUAACUUCAGGAAACUGAGGCUAAUCCAAGAUAGGAGCUCCUGCUGCAUGGUGGGCGUUGGAAAGUUUAGGCGGGUGGGAUUGGACUCGCGGCUUAUCAGCUUGUUUGUUGGGUAGUGGCUUACCAAGGCUUUGACGGAUCGCCGGCCUGAGAGGGUGAACAGGCACAUUGCUACUGAGAGACGCACCAGACUCCAAUGUUAGGCAGCAGGGGGGAAUAUUGUCCAAUGGGCCGACGUCUGAUGCAACAACGUCGCGUGUGUGAAGCCGGUCUUCUGGUUGUAAACCGCUUUCGCCUAUUACGAAGCUUUAGUGACGGUAAUGGGUAAAUAAGCACCGGCUAACUACGUG
rnacentral:rRNA from 1 species